ACCGACUGAGCCACCCAGGCACCCCAGUAAUUUUAAAUAAGUUUCAGAACCCCAUCCAGCCAAAUUCUGGAACUUCAACCAUGUUACAUUCAGUUGCCAUUCUCCUUAGACUCCUCUUGACUGUGGCAGUUUUUCAGAUUUUCCUUGUUCCUGAUGACCUUGACAGUUUGGAGGAGUACUGGACAGGCAAUUUGUAGAAUGUCUCCCAGGUGGAACUUUUUGGAUGUUUUCCCCAUGAUUAGACUGGGGGUUCUUGUAGGGAAGACCACAGAGGAAAAAUGCUGUUCUCAUUACAUCAUAUCAAGGGAGAGAAAAAAAAGAACAGCUUUUGGACUUCCUCGGGGAUGUGAUGGCAAGACAAAAUUGUGGGGCCUCUUUCACUUGCUAGGUGAAUAAACUUAU